ACGGAGGGUGCGAGCGUUGUCCGGAAUUAUUGGGCGUAAAGGGCGCGUAGGCGGUGCGGUAAGUCACCUGUGAAAUCUCCUGGCUCAACUGGGAGCUUGCAGGCGAAACUGCCGUGCUGGAGUGUGGGAGAGGUGCGUGGAAUUCCCGGUGUAGCGGUGGAAUGCGUAGAUAUCAAGAGGAACACCUGAGGUGAAGACGGGUUGCUGGGCCGACACUGACGCUGAUGCGCGAAAGCCAGGGGAGCAAACGGGA
rnacentral:rRNA from 1 species